UACGAAGGGGGCUAGCGUUGCUCGGAAUUACUGGGCGUAAAGCGCACGUAGGCGGUUCGAUCAGUCAGGGGUGAAAUCCCAGAGCUCAACUCUGGAACUGCCUUUGAUACUGUCGAUCUGGAGUAUGGAAGAGGUGAGUGGAAUUCCGAGUGUAGAGGUGAAAUUCGUAGAUAUUCGGAGGAACACCAGUGGCGAAGGCGGCUCACUGGUCCAUUACUGACGCUGAGGUGCGAAAGCGUGGGGAGCAAACAGG
rnacentral:rRNA from 1 species